AACUAUGCAGGCACGUGGCUUUGCUAACGAAAUUGACAUGUUAUUGACAAUGUCGUCAUAUAGGUAAAAUAGCGAUAAACAGAUUAUCAUUGGUCAUCUCAACUCGAUUGCCUUUCUCCCUUUCGCCUUCCCGGCUCAAGCGAGAAAAUCAAUCUCAUUGAGAUGAUCAAUGAUAAUCUAUAAAUAUAUACAGCAUUAUCUUGUUGACAGCUCCCCAAAAAAUCCUAUCCAGUUUUUCAUGAAAAGGAUUUACAGCUUGAACAUAAACAGAUAGAAAUGGCCAAUUAAAACAAUAAAGUUGAUAGACAUUUGGAGAGAGACACAUAGUAACAAUACACAAUUUACAUGGAGGCGCAAAAACAAUAUGAAUGAAGCCUCUCGCAUAGAUUUCUUUCUUAUAUGCCCAGAAAUAAGAUCACAUAUAUGCUCAGCAGAUAUAAGACCUGCACUUAUAUCUCACACUGACCACCAAGCUAUAUCAUUAAAGUUGAAAGGGAGAUCACAAUCAAAAGGGAAAGGAUAUUUUAAAAUUAAUAACAGCAUUUUGAAUAAUAUUGAAUAUAGAAACAUAAUAAAUGGCCUAAUUCAUAAAUAUAAAAACAAUCCAAAACUUAACAAAAAUAUUGGACACCAUUGGGACUUAUUCAAAAUUGAGGUCAAAGAAUACACCAUUGAAUACUGUAAAAGAAAAGCAAAACAGAACAUAAGUGAAAUACAUGUAUUGGAAAACAAAAUCAAAAAAUUAAAUGAACAAAUUAACAAACAUUGUAAAGAUGAGGUAAUAAAACAUUUUCAAGAAGAAUUAAUUAAUAAUGAAAGUAAAUUGAAGAAAAUAUAUGAAAUAAAAACAAAAGGAGCUCAAAUCAGGUCACGAAUUCAAUGGGUAGAAGAAGGAGAAAAAAAUACGAAAUUCUUUUUAGGUUUGGAAAAAGCUAGACAAACAAGAAAAACUAUAACUGCACUUAGAGAUAAAGAAGGAGUGAUACAAACUGACUCAUCCAAAAUUUUACAACUAGAGAAAGAAUUCUAUAAAGAUAUUUAUAAAAGUACAAAUCCAGAUAUAAAAUUUAUAAAUGAUUAUAUUAAUGAUACAAAUAUUGAUCAUAAAUUAACAACACAAGAG
rnacentral:lncRNA from 1 species